rnacentral:rRNA from 1 species
GCAUAACGCGAAGAACCUUACCAAGGCUUGACAUCCCCUUGACCGGCACAGAGAUGUGCCCUCUCCUUCGGGAGCAAGGGUGACAGGUGGUGCAUGGUUGCCGUCAGCUCGUGUCGUGAGAUGUUGGGUUAAGUCCCGCAACGAGCGCAACCCUUAUCCUUAGUUGCCAGCAUUAAUGGUGGGCACUCUAAGAAGACUGCCGAUGAUAAAUCGGAGGAAGGUGGGGAUGACGUCAAAUCAUCAUGCCCCUUAUGUCUUGGGCUACACACGUGCUACAAUGGUCGGUACAACGGGCAGCGAAGGAGCGAUCCGGAGCGAAUCCCAAUAAACCGAUCCCAGUUCGGAUUGUAGGCUGCAACUCGCCUACAUGAAGUCGGAGUUGCUAGUAAUCGCGAAUCAGAACGUCGCGGUGAAUGCGUUCCCGGGUCUUGUACACACCG